AGAACGAACGCUGGCGGCGUGUUUAAGACAUGCAAGUCGAACGGAUCAAAAUUGUAGCAAUACCGUUUUGGUCAGUGGCGCACGGGUGCGUAACACGUGAGUUACAUGCCCUGCAGUGGGGAAUAGCCCGCCGAAAGGCGGAUUAAUACCCCAUGGUCCCGCAAGGGUAAAGGUGGCCGCAAGGCUGCCGCUGCAGGAUUGGCUCGCGGCCUAUCAGCUAGUUGGCGGGGUAACGCCCACCAAGGCGACGACGGGUACCUGGUCUGAGAGGAUGAUCAGGCACACUGGAACUGAGACACGGUCCAGACACCUACGGGUGGCAGCAGUCGAGAAUAAUCACAAUGGGGGAAACCUGAUGGUGACAACGCCGCGUGGAGGAUGGAAGGUCUUCGGAUGUAAACUCUGUCAUUGGAGAGUAAGACCUGGCGGUACAAGUAGCCGACGAGGUGAUAGUAUCCAAAGAGGAAGGACGGACUAACUUCGCGACCAGCAGCCGA
rnacentral:rRNA from 1 species